UCCCGCUGCCCUCCUUGGGCGUUUCCUCCCUAGACUUGGGCCGCCUCGCCUUGCGAGCGGCCCUUUUUCUUGUCUCCA
rnacentral:sRNA from 1 species